UGUACCAUAGGAAAAAAAGGAAAUUUCCUUUUUCCUGUUUUUAAUAGAGACGAUCAAUUACUGUUAGACAUUAGAGCAGCCAAGAAGGAAAAUCCCUGCUUUAUGCAGCUAGCAGGACGACGAGACUGGUUGUGUAACUCCACCCUUGAGAAGAACUGCCAGGAUCGUUGUUUAUGAGCGUGACCCAAAGGCUGGAACAGCUUCCUUACCUACAGAGUGUUGUAAUCCCGGAAAUACCGUGGGAUGUCUUCACCAACAUCUCCUUCCCAUCAACACCGCGUUCACUGCGAAGAGCAUCCCGGGAGAUACAGGACUGAGAAAUUAGGAUGGCAGAUAAUGAUCCCAUGGGCUUCAAGCAUUUCCCUCAAUAAAGUCAUGGCCACCAAGGGUCAGCCAGGAAGAUGGAUGUACCU
rnacentral:lncRNA from 1 species